GCUCACCACGCUGGCCAGGAGCUUGCCUCUCCUACCAUUCCCACUCCAUGUGAUCGCUUCCCAAGGUGCCAACUCCUGGCUUUCCAUCUGGGGAACGCAGAUAUUUUUUUCAAGAGGGUGGAGGGAAAAUCAACAUGAAGAUUAAUGGACUUCAAAGCAGAAAGAGAAUGAAAAUACUGGAAACCUUUGCCUGUGAUUCAGCGUUCAGGGGCACAAGAAUACACUGGAGACAAAGAAGAAGAGCCAAGUCGAGUCUGGGGCCAGAGGUUUGAGUUUAAGAAAUCACUUAGAGACCUCACCUUAGGCAACAUGGCCAUGAAAUUAGUGGUUGAAUGUUGCCCACUUUCUCUUCUUUCUUGAAUGCUGGUUGGGGGCUUAGGUUUAAGGUGAAUUUUAUGUUUAGGAGCAUUCAUUUGAAAAUAGGUUUUUCAGCCUGCAUUUGUAAAAAUAGCUUCUCCCAACUGGAACACCAAUGCAUGUUCCACAUGUGUGGGCAUUCUAUGGGAUAACAUGCUACUAAGUACUACACAAAAGAUCUGUGGCGAAUGUCACCACCUGUGACAGCGCUCUUAUUUAUGAACUGAAGAACACUCUCCAUCUUGGCCCUCUUGCCAGAAAAGUUCUUUCUCCACAGACCAACAGGAAGUUCCCUAAGUACUAUGAGACCUUGUCUUUGCCUAUAGCUGGCUGCAUUGGACAUGGAUUCCUGGCCCAAGUUCAUUAAAGAAGAUGAGGGAAAAUAAACACACAUGUACACGCACACCAGAUAAACUGAAUGCUUCCUUCUGCUGGGGACACGCUGUAGGUGAGCAAGUGCACCAAGGACAAGGCGGCCACUGAUGAAAAGGAAGGGAAAAGAGACUUCAUUUCCAUACCCACUAACCAUGCCAACAGAAGGCUUUGUGAAGAAGGAAGUAAAAGCUAUCGGUAGGAGUUAGAAAAAAACAUUUCUAGUUACAAGAACAGCAGAAAAAGACCUGAACUUCAGAGUGGACCACAAAUGAAUAUGAAUUAAUAACACAGAUCUCUUUUCAAAAGCCAACACAAAAUGAGGAUGUGUUUUUUGCAAAAGCAGUUGUUCUUGCCACUGGGCUUAUGCUUGUCAUUCUUUCAUGUGUCACAGCCAGACCUAGGAAAUUCCCUGGAAAGUCCCCUCCAUCACACACCUGCAGUUUUUCCAUUUGAGUGUAAUUCUGUUGGACCUUGAAAGACUUUUUGAUCUUUGGGACGCUCUUAUCACCAAAUGUAUCUUUCUGCAGGAAGAAGACAGAAGAAAGGGGUGGACUAUGAGAUGGGAGCCUGGGUCCCAAUUUCAGUUCAACCAUUACCAACCAGGUGGCUUUAGGCAAGUCUGGUCAUUUCCUUUGCCUCAGUGGCUUUCUAUAAAAUGGAAUUCUAUAGGGAUGAUGAAAGCGAAAACGUUAGCCACUAUGCUUGCUAGUGCUCAAGAAAUGAUUCCUUCCUGCCUGCCUGCCUCAGUUUUCCAUCUGUAAACAAGGAUUCAACUAGAACAUCUUUGAGGUUCCUUGAGCUCUAACACUCUGUGAUUCUGUUGGCAGCACCUUAAGAAAUUUACAACAAACACUCCAUUGAGUCUUAAUCUAUUAGAUCCCAUUCAGUUCUAAUAGUGUUGUGAUUUUGACUUUGUAGCCUCAUGUUUAUUUUCUCUCUUCCUGAUUUUUUAUUUAUAUAUUCUAUUUAAUAGUUUUUGCUUUUUCAAGUUGUCACCAGUUCUUUGUAGAAUAAGAAAAAAGUAUAACUAACUGGAGGAAAGAAUGCAUUCACAGAAAGCCAAGGAAUGAUAACACUAAUGCUAAUACAAUACUACUGCUAAUAAAAAUAACUGCCU
rnacentral:lncRNA from 1 species